GAGCGGAUGAGGGGUGCUUGCAUCCCGAUUCAGCGGCGGACGGGUGAGUAAUGCCUAGGAAUCUGCCCGAUAGUGGGGGACAACGUUUCGAAAGGAACGCUAAUACCGCAUACGUCCUACGGGAGAAAGUGGGGGCUCUUCGGACCUCACGCUAUCGGAUGAGCCUAGGUCGGAUUAGCUAGUUGGUGGGGUAAAGGCUCACCAAGGCGACGAUCCGUAACUGGUCUGAGAGGAUGAUCAGUCACACUGGAACUGAGACACGGUCCAGACUCCUACGGGAGGCAGCAGUGGGGAAUAUUGGACAAUGGGCGAAAGCCUGAUCCAGCCAUGCCGCGUGUGUGAAGAAGGUCUUCGGAUUGUAAAGCACUUUAAGUUGGGAGGAAGGGCUGUAAGCGAAUACCUUGCAGUUUUGACGUUACCGACAGAAUA
rnacentral:rRNA from 1 species